CCGAGCCGAUCGUGGGCGUCUUAUCCACCAAUCCCGCGUCCUUCUCGAGCCCCACAUCCCUCCUCCCCAUCAAUCCCCCGUCCUACUCCAGCCAUGCCUCGCCGCCACCUCUCCUUCCCCAUUCAUCCUCUCGAUACGCUGCCGCCGCCAUAUCUCUCCUCCCCACACAUCCUCUCUCCUCGUCACAUCUGGCCGGAGGAGAACAUUGCGGCGGCAUCUCCUGGCGAUGGCAGUGAGGGCGGGUGAGGCUGCAAGGCGACGAGCCAAGGCGGCGGAGGAUCCGGUUCGUAUGCUGUUGUUGUUGCCGAUGGACGGAUGAGGCGCUCUCAGGUCACUCCCCACGGGCCUCCUUCGUCUCCCAAGUCUCAACCAUGGCCGGCUCCAACCCCUCCUCUGUUGUUGUGCUCCUGUAGGAGAAGAAGAAGAAGAGUAGGCAUGAUCUCUGUAUACAUCCAGUGUAUUUGGUUGGAUUACUUUCGUUCUCUGAGAAAUUUGGCAUUGAAAAAUAAAAGAAAUAAGAGACCCACGGUCUGUACUUAAGGUCUAGGAUCUGCUAGGUUGGUGGAUCUGCGAGCUUGCGGUUCCUGUUGUUGAUCAACCGCUGCUUCGGUGGAGGUUUAAUCAACCAAGUGAGUGCAGUAGCAAACCAGCUGUGCGGCUUAUAGGAGCACUUGCGCCAUCUUUGUAAUGGUUGCUUUAUCUAGGUCUCCACAGGCUUGCCGUCAGAAGACAUUUUAAUGGUUUGUUAUCUCCCUUUCCAUUGUUUUCUAUCACUUAUGCCAUUCAGAUGACGUGUCUGACUCAGGAACUGUUUACUUUCACAUGCUAAAGAGCAAACAAUUGGAUUUGUUGUACUGCAUAUCUCUUAUUUUUUCGUUUGUGUGUUAUAUUAACUAGCUGUUCUGGUUAAGGUACUGCUGAAUCUGUUCCCACCAGAGGCCUCUCGUGGGCACGAUAUAUAUGUAAGUGAGGAAAACACAAACACCCUUGUCACUACUGGAGAGGAUGGCCUAAAAUUCUGGGAUUUAAGUGAAUUUGCACCUUGGGUGGGGUGACGAGGUUGCUGCGGCUAGGCUGCCGAUUGGCCAAGCAAACCCUACUGUGUCUACACCUCUGCAUGGGUACUUGCCGCUUUUGUAAACCUCACUGUCAUAACUGGAAUGAAUUGCAAAUAAAAUUGUAAGUUUCCUCGCGUAUUCUCACUUCAUUUGAAGCACUUUCCACAUCUGAUAGCCCAGGUGGGAUAUAAAUGGAACUUUCACUUAGAUAGUUGCAUUCUAAAAUACGUCUAUAUACAUCCAUAUGUAGUCCAAAUAGUAAUCUCUAAAAACACUUAUAUUUAGGAACGGAGGGAGUAAUUCUCUGACAAGUUCCUAUUGAUUACAUGUACGUAUGGUUUAUUUUCUACAGUUGGAAAAGGUCCUAAAAUAUCGUCGACAUGGUUUAUGUAUGGUCAGCAAAGGCCUUAAGCAUGUCUUCUGCAAGUUUUUGUUAGUUAUCACUUCAUAGCUUGGUCAAACUUUUUGGCCGGUGACAAGUUAUAGGUAAGGUCUCCAUCAUCUCCUUUAUUUCUUUGGAUCACUACAGUUCUUAUAGCUUUCCGAAUCAUGCAUGCCAUGGUGCAAACUCAAAUAUGUAAAUAAUGCGUUUCCUUUUUUUUGCUUGUCACUCUUGCUCUUAUCAGGCAAAGAAACAUAUAAAGAACUAAUUAUUGUGGUGGAUCUUGCAUUUCUGAUUAUCCAUUAUCCAUUACUUCUAAAACAGCAGCAGGUGGGUGAAUGAUUGGCUACCAACAGUUCCAUAUACUUCAUCAGCUUUGUGAUAGUAAGCAUAGUAACAUGUUCAAAUAUAUGUCCCAGGCGAACCAGCUGCUUAAGUACCAUUCUUAUAUUUAGCUUCGUGCUUAUAAUUCUUUUGUGCCAUCUAUGAUGAACUCCACACAGCCUUAUGUUUAGAUGUGGCAUGCUCCAUGCUAUGAACAUUGUAAUCCUCUAUCAUUAGCUUUCUUUUCUUAUACUACAUAUGUAUAAUGAUCAUCAAUAUAUACCCACAUAAUACUUGGUUAUAGUUAGCAUCUUGCGCCAUGGGCGCAACGGGUCAUCUAGACACAACAAAAGCGCCAAACCAUCAACCUAGACAACAAUAUUAAUGUUCGUAGACUGCGAAAGAUCAUCCAGAACACCACCACAUCUAAUCACUAGUAUGUCUGUCACAUGAUAGAAACAUUUGCUACAGACGGCAAAAGGAUGGUAAUCCUUUGCAAUUACUUUGUUUUGUUUCAUACAAUGACAUCGUAUAAAAUGAUAUACUAACUAACCUUUACUUUCAUUUUCAGUAUUUUGGGGUUCCCUUUUCUAAGAGCUCCCUUUUCUCACACAUGGAUGCUGACCAUGGUGAACUGCCAAUCACUACUGGAGACGGAACUACCGCUGUCACAGCCUGCUUUAUCAUGGGUGUUGACAAAAGGGCCACCAUCACUAGAGGCUGGAGUGACUUCUUUCGUCAGGCGCACAUGAAGAAAGGUCAAGCAUAUGCUUUCGACUUUAAAUGCACUUCCAAGAGACUGCGCCUGAUCGUCUACUCAAUAUAAACAAGUUGCAAGAGUCCCUUGUUAUAUAACCUAGCAUUAGUAGAGAUGUCUACUAAGACUUCUAUGUUUAUCAUUUGUCUAUUGCAUGUUCUCUGCUCAUUGCAGGUAUGCAAGCUCUUUUGAAACUCUUGGUGUAAAGAAAAAUAUUGUUGUUUGCCCUAUCAAGAAUAUUAGCUCGAAUAA